UUUCUACACACAAUUGGUGGCUAAUGCUGUACUGCUUACGCUCAAUUGCUGCCUCAUUGCCAGCUGCUGAUUAUUAGCUGUGGACUUUGAGCAAGUUACCACCUUCUGUCUGUCACAUCUGUACAAAGGGAACAGAGUAGAACCUAUUUCAAAGGUUGUUGUGAGAACUAAGUUUACACGUGCAGAGUUCCCAGACGAGCACCUGGCAAUGUCUAAAUACAUAUAAGCUGGCAUUAGCUGGCAUUAACAUUGUCAUUGUUUUUCCAGUGUUUCUGAAAGUAUAGCAAGUGUAUCACUGCAGAUAUACAAGAUGAGGGGUGAUAUUCAAAGUUACUGAAGGAUGUACAGAUUUCCAAUGCAUGUCUUCUGUAUAGACAGGGGAAAUGAAUCCUUCACUCAUCACUGGGGCCAAGGCCCCAGAGCUCUACGUGUUCUUCUAUCUAGUGAGCCAUCCUGACUACCUAUGAGCCAUACAUGGAACAGAUGCUGGUGGCCAGCCUCACCUCUACAUUGGAAGAUCCACCUAUGAAUGAAGCUGGCUCAGAGAAAAGCAGAAUCAAAAGACAGAGCAAAUGACUCAGAUCCUUCAUGAUGUUAGUUAUACUUCUGUAUACAUUACGCUUG
rnacentral:lncRNA from 13 species